rnacentral:lncRNA from 1 species
GGCCCCGCGCGGGGGGAGGCGGCCGGCACAGCCCCGCAGCGAAGGGUCCGGCCUCCGCCGCCUCGCCCCCUGCUAGCGGCGGCCCGGGGGCUCCCGGCGGCCUUUCGGGCAGCACAUGCCGCCUCUCGGCCUAAGCGCGCCCCCGUUUCUGGGGGGCGGCGGGGGGCUGCCUCCUUGGCGGCCCCGUGUCCCCUCUGGUGGGGCCCUUGCUGGAAGCAGGUCCCGACCCGCGGGGGCUCAGGCCUGCUGUGGCCUGGCAGUUCCCGUGUUGUUGUUCUYGCUCCCGCUGUGACUAAACGACAGUGCUGUAGAACGGGACGAGCGGGUGCCCGGUCGUGUGACGGUGGAAGGGCCAUGGGAAAUACAGCCUUCAGAAGCUGGAUGCUUUGGUUGUGGCAGAUUACUACUGGAUGCCCUUUUCCCCAGGUGCUUCCUAGACUUCGGUAGCAAAUGGGAAGGAGUUUGUCAGCCUCGAGAGAAUAAGAGAGCAGGUCCUGCACCCCUCCGAAAAUGGCAUGUGGAAGUGGUUUCGAAAGCGCCGCCUUUGGUCUCCUUUCUGCAGGAUCCCUGCUCCCCACAAAUCAUACUGUGGAUCCAAAGCAGGCUCCUUAAUACUUGCGUGAAACGAGGGCGAAGACUAGACCCGUUGUCCCCAUGUUGGGAAAGAGCACCCUUCCCUUCCCCAGCAGGGUUGCCCGGUGCAGCUAGCGUCGUGUGGCCACCAGCUACCCAUGAAUCACAGCUGAAAAACUGCUUUGCCUGAGCCGUAAUAAUCUGAGACAGCAAAGGGAGAAGUGAUUUCAAUCAUGAUGCAAUCAGUUAAAGACGACUUCAAAUGCAACGUUGGGGAGUUUUCCUUUGGGGAAAAAUGCUCUUGUUGAUUUUUGAGUAAACAAAUUAACAAGUUGGCUUUGUUUAAAAAAUAAAAGGGAUCUGCUGGACCA